UACGCAAUUUAAUCAACAAAAAUAUUUAUACUAAAUCAUUCUAAGAUCAUUUCACUUGAUGUAAGUUUUUCUCAGAACCUAACCUCAGUGAAAACCGAGGCAUAGAUGUAUAACACAUCAAUUCGUGAACAGGUUUGCUGCUUUGUUGGCUCGGGUUAUUACAUAUUUUAAAGACGUAUACAAAAUGAUGAUCAAAGUUGCGAUAUUUUUGAUGAUUUCAACGAUUUUAUUGGGAGAAGGUGACGCCAGAUUACGUUGUGUAUUGGGCAUAUGCCCAAUUGAUGUAUUCAGAUCACAAUCGAAUUAAUUGAUUAUAACUGACUGUUUUUGUGUUAUUUCAGUUUGUGUCUUUUGUAUAAAGCUCGAGCAAAUAAAUU